AUUGAACGCUGGCGGCAUGCCUUACACAUGCAAGUCGAACGGUAACAGGUCUUCGGAUGCUGACGAGUGGCGAACGGGUGAGUAAUACAUCGGAACGUGCCCGAUCGUGGGGGAUAACGAGGCGAAAGCUUUGCUAAUACCGCAUACGAUCUACGGAUGAAAGCGGGGGUCUUCGGACCUCGCGCGGACGGAGCGGGCGAUGGCAGAUUAGGUAGUUGGUGGGAUAAAAGCUUACCAAGCCGACGAUCUGUAGCUGGUCUGAGAGGAUGAUCAGCCACACUGGGACUGAGACACGGCCCAGACUCCUACGGGAGGCAGCAGUGGGGAAUUUUGGACAAUGGGCGAAAGCCUGAUCCAGCCAUGCCGCGUGCAGGAUGAAGGCCUUCGGGUUGUAAACUGCUUUUGUACGGAACGAAAAGCCUCUUUCUAAUAAAGAGGGGUCAUGACGGUACCGUAAGAAUAAGCACCGGCUAACUACGUG
rnacentral:rRNA from 1 species